rnacentral:piRNA from 1 species
UGGUAAGGAACUUCAUGAUGUUGACUUCGC